GUCCAGACUCCUACGGGAGGCAGCAGUCGGGAAUAUUGCGCAAUGGAGGAAACUCUGACGCAGUGACGCCGCGUGCAGGAAGAAGGUUUUCGGAUUGUAAACUGCUUUAGAUAGGGAAGAAAAAAAUGACAGUACCUAUAGAAUAAGCUCCGGCUAACUACGUGCCAGCAGCCGCGGUAAUACGUAGGUGGCAAGCGUUAUCCGGAUUUAUUGGGUGUAAAGGGCGUGUAGGCGGGAAUGCAAGUCAGAUGUGAAAACUAUGGGCUCAACCCAUAGCCUGCAUUUGAAACUGUAUUUCUUGAGUGCUGGAGAGGCAAUCGGAAUUCCGUGUGUAGCGGUGAAAUGCGUAGAUAUACGGAGGAACACCAGUGGCGAAGGCGGAUUGCUGGACAGUAACUGACGCUGAGGCGCGAAAGCGUGGGGAGCAAACAGGAUUAGAUACCCCUGUAU
rnacentral:rRNA from 1 species